CCACCCUCACGCGCCGCGUGGUGUUGGGGCUCUCUCCGCAGCGAGAGGCCCCGAAAGCGAGUGGCGGACCGCCUGGUUUGGCUCCGAGCGCAGUAACUCACUCUCGCUCUGGACGGCCAGCGGCCCUGCCGUGAAACCGUGCUGCCCGCAAGGGCGGCACACCCCACCAAAAGG
rnacentral:misc_RNA from 1 species